rnacentral:rRNA from 1 species
GGACUACCGGGGUUUCUAAUCCCGUUUGCUCCCCUGGCUUUCGCGCCUCAGCGUCAGUAGAGGUCCAGCGGACCGCUUUCGCCACCGGCGUUCCUUCCGAUAUCAACGCAUUUCACCGCUCCACCGGAAGUUCCGUCCGCCCCUACCUCCCUCCAGCCACGCAGUAUCCCGGGCACGCUUCCGGUUGGGCCGAAAGAUUUCACCCGAGACUUACGCGGCCGCCUACGCGCCCUUUAAGCCCAGUGAUUCCGAACAACGUUCGCACGGUUCGUCUUACCGCGGCUGCUGGCAC